rnacentral:tRNA from 1 species
ACCUGGCUGGCUCAGUCGGUAGAGCAUGGGACUCUUGAUCUCAGGGUUGUGAGUUCAAGCCCCAUGUUGGAUA